rnacentral:lncRNA from 1 species
UUAGUUAACUAAAAUUAUAUAUUUAUUUUCAUUCAAUGAGGGUCCAAAUCAUUUAGGAACUCAUGAAUUUAGCCCAAAACAAUUAUUUCAUAAGUUUUAGAAAUAUCCUCGUCGGGUGACGGAAACUCAAUCGGGUGCGACCCAAAGCAUCGUUUAAGGCCGGUAUCGGGUAGAAUUCCACCGUGUCCAAGUUUUAGGAACUAUAUAAACAUGUUUAAGCACUCAUUUGAAGCUUUUUCCUUCUCUCUCUACUCUCUCUCUAACCUCUCUCCUAAAUCCAAGGAUUAAGUGUCCAAAACUCAAAUUUAAGGCUUCAAAUCCUUAAGGUACCUUCCUAGCCUUAAUCUAUAGCAUGUUUAGCUUCCAAAUUAGACACUUAAUCAUGAAAUUGGACAAUAUAUGUGAGUUUACGGCCCAGGAGGCUGCCUAGGCCGUAAACACCAUUUAGAAGAGUUUUUAGCCCUUAAACUCCUUCCUAGACUCAAUUGGACUUUAGAUAUGGCUAAGGGACUUCAAGAUAUGGACUUAGAACACUUAAAACUUUGAUUUUGAGGACUUUGAAGGAGUUUACGGCCAAGGCAUAAGCUUGGGCCGUAAACUCAUGUUAAUGGGGUUUUUCAUGCCUUUAAACCCUUCCAAAUCACCUCUAUGGCUUAGAUAUGAAUUAUAGGACCUUGGUAAUAGCAUUUGGACACUUGAAACAUAAUUUUUGGGGGACUUAGAUGAGUUUACGGCCAAGGAUAGUGCUUGGGCCGUAAACUCCCCAAAACUUGGCAUAAAUCCAAUUCUAAGGUGUUAGAAAGCCAUCCAACACCACCAAAAGCCUUGGAAUAAAUCAAGGGACCAACCAAAAAUACUUUAAGGGCCUUAAACACAUCAUUCAUGGGAUUUCUAAGAGUUUACGGCCAAGACCUGUUCUUGGGCCGUAAACUCCAAAAUUUUUGGUGUUAGAAUGCAAACUAAACACCCCUAAAGCCUUUAGAUGAAUUUUAGAAGUCCUUUCAUGCAAGUUUUAGACCUUGAAACACAUUGUAGCUUGACAUAUUAGAGUUUACGGCCAUGAAGGGGGUUUCAUGGGCCGUAAACUCCAUAAAUCCCUCAUAUGUCCCAUAUAAACUCAUUUCUAGGCUUGUGGGAAUUUUUAGAAUCACAUGUGAUUGGUUUUAACAACAUUUAGCAUCAUUUUCAUAAGGAUUAAGGAGUUUACGGCCAGGAGCCUAUGCUAGGCCGUAAACUCCCAUAAAUUAAUCAUUUUGGUGAUUUUAAUCCAUUCCAAGCAUUUAGAACAAAACCUAGAAACAUUUCCCAUGUCCAUGUAAGCCAUUUAAGCCAUUUAAACACCCAAAACCACACCCACAUGAGUUUACGGCCGUAAACUCAUGUAUGUGUGUGUUUUGUGGUUGUAAACUCAUUUAAAAGUUUACUCAUGGGGAGUAAACUCAAGUCCCAAGUCCCUAGUGUCAUUUCCCAUCCUUAAACGCCACCCGGGUCCCUCCAAACACUCGUAUCGGAGUGUUUUCGCGACUAGAAGCAAUUGUCCCUAUCCAACAAUCAAUCUAAGUCCUAAUUAGAUACAAAUGUGUAUCUUUACAUUAUAAUUAGGAACCUCGUGUAUUUACAAGCCCCGGAUCAACUCUUAGCAUCCAAAUCGUCAUACUUCUCGUCUGGUGAGUUCAUACCCCUACGCCUUUUUCACUGUUUUUAACUGUUUUCAGGGGGGAAUACAAGCAAACCAAAACUGUUUUCAAAUCAUAACAUUUAUGUGUUUCAAAUAAUAUCUGGCAAUCUUAUAAACUCUUUUACUCCUUAUGUAUUAUGUUGAGCAUAAGGAAUGAUUUAUCAAUUACAACUAAAUGGAUUUUAGUUAAGAAAAUAACCAAACUAAUCAAAUUAUUAUGGGAAUAAUUUGGGGUUCUAUGUUUCUCUUUAUAUCAUGUACUGAUAUUUGUAUAAAGUUAUUUGAUAAACUAUGUCUGAUUCAGUUUAUCUCCGUAUCAUUCGAAUGUUUUGCCAGAUAGUUUCCUGUAUGUAACUAUUUUCACUGUAUCAUGUCUUGAAAUCUUUGUAUGUUUGGUAUCGUAUGAGAAUCCUGUGAAUAGUUUAAUACUAGCUUGUGAGAUAGUCACUACCCUUUAUGGAUGAUCAAGUAAAUCCUCUCCGGAAGUGUAACCAGAGUCUCCUGGAGGGAGAGCGAGGAAUUUGUGAAUAGAUCUAUUCGGGACUGACAAUCCCACACCUUAACUGCUAGCUACAGUUAGGCGGGCACGCCUGGGGUGACAAAUUCUGUAUAUCAUUCGACGUCUGACUAACGUCAAGGAGGUCUCGUUGUCAUAUCAGCAUGGUUACCCGACUCACAAUACGUAUUAAUAUAAACUUAUUCACAGCUAGGAUUUGUUUAGAAUCUAAAUCUUGUUCGGGAUGAUAAUCCCAUGGUCUUGUAUCUAUAUCUCGUUCGGGAUGGUAAUCCCAUGGUUUUAUGUCUAUAUCUCGUUCGGGAUGAUAAUCCCAUGAUCUUGUGUCUAUAUCUCGUUCGGGAUGGUAAUCCCAUGGUUUUGAAACUAAAUCUUAUACGGGAUGAUAAUCCCAUGAUUUUAUCAAUCUAUCAUAUAUCUAGUUUCGGGAUAGUGAUCCCAUGGUUUAUCAAGCUAUCUUAUAUCUAUUUUCGGGAUAGUGAUCCCAUGGUCUUUAUCGAAUUAUCUUAUAACUGGUUCGGGAUGUUAGUCCCAAGGUUUUCAAAAUACUUUCUAUCUACAGUUCGUCUAAAUUAUAGUUUUGUAUAUUAAACUAUACUAUGUGUUAUUCAAUCAAUCUUGCAUUUAGGAAAAUAUGGGAUUUUCCUGGGGUUAACUUAUAUCUUGUAACAGAACUGUAACGAAAGAUAACUUAACUACUUUACAUAAGAAAAUAUGGGAUUUUCUUGGAUAUCAAAUCUUUUCAGAAAACUAAAGGAAACCGAUACAUUUUCACAAAACAAAACCGCUUAUGAACUCACCAGCUUUAUGCUGAUUUUCAAACUGCUUGUAUUCUCAGGUCCAAGUUAGACAGGUACCCGGCGAUAUCUUUUGGUGAAGACGGAGUGCUCCGAAGACUCGUCUCUUUUGUUCAUAUGAUAUAUGUAUAACUUUUGUACAAUUUACUUUUGAACCAAAUGUAAACUUUCAUAUAUAUGUAAUGUAAUGGUUGUUUACUGUGAUUACUAUGUACAUUGGAUUUGAUACUCAACAUGGAGUCAACCCCGGGAACGUUUCCGCCUUUGGUUUUCGGGGUGUGACAGAUUGGUAUCAGAGCCCUUGUUUAUAGUGAACAGAGUAUACCAAACCUUACAUGGUAUAAAACUAUAAACAUUAAGGGGCCUAAGUGCUCUGAACUAAAAGUAUCCUACAAAAUAUAAGUAUUUUCAAAAGUAUUUAAGUAUGCCGAGCCGUCGAAAUCCGUAACUACAAGUAGAACAAAACAUAAGUAAAUGGGUGUUGUACACUGCGGUUAAACCUGGGCAGUUAUGUAGUCGUGUCUAGGGUCAAUAUAGCCUGGCCAACUAUAUUCAUUCGAGACACGGCCAACAUGUGCUUGGGAGUGACUGUGGCAUGCGGCAUACCUAAAACUUACCCAAUAUCCCAAACAACAAAUCGUCGCUGCAGCGAACCAUGAAAUACUAUGGGAGUAUUUCUCGAGCCGAUCCUUUGUAGAAAUUCUUGUAUACGCGUUAUUCCUUGAUCAUUUCUCUAGCGAUGAAAAUGUUCUAUCUUGAUAACUCCUUUCUGCUUUAUCGCUUAGUAUGAUGCUAUAUUUGCCUUGAUGAGAUAUCUCCUGUCCCAUAUCUCUUGAUUCAAUUCAGAGGACUUAUGAUCCUCUCUUUCCUGAUCUUUUUAGAUCAAGAUGCCUCCAAGAAAGAGACCCAGCUCAACGAACAACAACAAUCCUCCUCCGCCACCACCUCGUAUUCAAAUCGAUUUGGAAACACUUCAGGCAACCAUUUCAGCUACUAUAUCAGCUCUCUUACCUCAACUGAACUCUAGAGGUUCGGGAGGUGAAACCCAAAACCCAGAUAAUAGCCAGGGACACCAAAAAAGGGGUUCCUAUAAAGACUUCAUGAACGCAAAACCGACAUUCUUUGAUGGCACAGGAGGUGUCAUUGCCUUAACUCGAUGGUUCGAGAGAAUCGAAUCAAUCUUUGAGAUAUGUUACUGUUCGGAGUCUGAUAGAGUCAAGUUUGCUGCUUGCACUCUCCUCGAUAAAGCUUUGACUUGGUGGAACGGCCGAGUCAAAUCCCUGACCUUACCGGUAGCUAAUGCUAUGGGAUGGGAAGUAAUGAAAGAACUCCUACGUGCGGAGUAUUUCCCUCGGGGUGAAAUCCAGAAGCUGGAAAACGAGCUAUGGAACCUGAAGAUGAAAGGUUCCGAUAUCGCCUCUUACAAUUCAAGGUUUGAUGACCUGGCACUCCUUUGUCCGGGAAUGGUUACCCCGGAAAGCAAAAAGAUAGAAAGAUUCAUCUAGGGAUUAACCCAGCCAACAAAGGGGAACGUUAUAGCAGCAAAGCUAGAUACCUACGACAGUGCAAAGUGUCUGGCUCAAACUUUGAUCGAUCACAGUGAUGUGCAAGAAGAAGCAGACACCACCCCCGAGCCCACAGAAAGGAGUGGCGAGAAAAGAAAGUUUUGGAAGAAGAAGAAGAGUCAGUCUUCCCCAGAACUCUGAAAGAAACAACAAAUAGUGGCAAUUCAAGUUGCCACUAUCCCUGCUGCUGUUUCUGUUGUCAAUUCCACAUCUCAAGCACCUGUCACCGGAUAUGCCGGUAUCCUCCCAUGGUGUAACCAUUGUAGUUACCACCAUCGCAUCCCUGGCCCUUGUCGUGCAAAGUUUUGUAGAAGCUGUGGCCAGGAAGGUCACCUCGCACGCACCUGCAAAACCCUAACCCUGUCAACUAGUCAGGCUUCCGGAGCAGGUAUCGGUCAAACCUGCUACAGUUGUGGAGAGGUAGGACACUAUAAACGAAACUGUCCGAAGACAGUAACAUCUGGCAACACUGGUAGAGUCCUAACCAUGGGACAAGAGAGGACAGCCGCCGAUCCCACCGUUGCUACAGGUAUACUUCUCUUUGAUAAAUCUCGUGCCUGUGAUCCUUCUCGAUUUUAAUGUGGUAAAAUUUUCUAAAUCCUUUGUCAAUAAUCGAAAAGUGCACCAUCAAGAUAACUAAUCAAUGAGAUAGAGAAACGGGAAGUAACAGUUCUUUCCUCUCAAUGUCUAUCCCGAAGGAUUCCCGGGAGUUUCUUUCGAGCAUUUAGUUUAGUCUCACAUCAAACCUUUCGAGAUCUUCGUAGAGAUUGAUUCAGCAACCUUCAGGUUUCGGAUGCCCUUAGAGCUUGGUAAUCUCUAUCUAGACCAUCACGUCUCGAAUCCUUAGAAGCAUCUGCCCAACGAAACCCUAGUGAUUCCUUUGAGAAAACCGAAGUCGUUCAGAGUUGGAACUUCCACGAGAAAACAGAUUGACAUCGUAGAUUGAGAGAGAGUCAAGAAGCGAAACCAAGGUACGUCCCGCUAAUGAGAAUUCGUUAGAACGCCUAGUAGAGACCAAAUUCCACUUGGAAAAGUGAAGAUCCAAAGCAACAAAUCCAGUCGUAUCUCAUUCUAAUCCAUGAUCAGUAUCAUAUUCUUUGAAUUUCGGGACGAAAUUCCCUCUAACGGGGGGAUAAUGUAACAACCCGAAGUUGUUCAUCGCCGAAAACCCAUUCUACCCGUAUAACUCGUCGGAGAUCGAAAUGUCCCGAUAUCGUUUUUGGGCUUAGUUAACUAAAAUUAUAUGUUUAUUAUCAUUCAAUGAGGGUCCAAAUCAUUUAGGAACUCAUGAAUUUAGCCCAAAACAAUUAUUUCAUAAGUUUUAGAAAUAUCCUCGUCGGGUGACGGAAACUCAAUCGGGUGCGACCCAAAGCAUCGUUUAAGGCCGGUAUCGGGUAGAAUUCCACCGUGUCCAAGUUUUAGGAACUAUAUAAACAUGUUUAAGCACUCAUUUGAAGCUUUUUCCUUCUCUCUCUACUCUCUCUCUAACCUCUCUCCUAAAUCCAAGGAUUAAGUGUCCAAAACUCAAAUUUAAGGCUUCAAAUCCUUAAGGUACCUUCCUAGCCUUAAUCUAUAGCAUGUUUAGCUUCCAAAUUAGACACUUAAUCAUGAAAUUGGACAAUAUAUGUGAGUUUACGGCCCAGGAGGCUGCCUAGGCCGUAAACACCAUUUAGAAGAGUUUUUAGCUCUUAAACUCCUUCCUAGACUCAAUUGGACUUUAGAUAUGGCUAAGGGACUUUAAGAUAUGGACUUAGAACACUUAAAACUUUGAUUUUGAGGACUUUGAAGGAGUUUACGGCCAAGGCAUAAGCUUGGGCCGUAAACUCAUGUUAAUGGGGUUUUUCAUGCCUUUAAACCCUUCCAAAUCACCUCUAUGGCUUAGAUAUGAAUUAUAGGACCUUGGUAUUAGCAUUUGGACACUUGAAACAUGANGACUUAGAUGAGUUUACGGCCAAGGAUAGUGCUUGGGCCGUAAACUCCCCAAAACUUGGCAUAAAUCCAAUUCUAAGGUGUUAGAAAGCCAUCCAACACCACCAAAAGCCUUGGAAUAAAUCAAGGGACCAACCAAAAAUACUUUAAGGGCCUUAAACACAUCAUUCAUGGGAUUUCUAAGAGUUUACGGCCAAGACCUGUUCUUGGGCC